rnacentral:rRNA from 1 species
CAGUAGCCGCGGGAAUACGUAGGUGGCAAGCGUUGUCCGGUACUAUUGGGCGUAAAGGGCUCGCAGGCGGUUUCUUAAGUCUGAUGUGAAAGCCCCCGGCUCAACCGGGGAGGGUCAUUGGAAACUGGGAAACUUGAGUGCAGAAGAGGAGAGUGGAAUUCCACGUGUGGCGGUGAAAUGCGUAGAGAUGUGGAGGAACACCAGUGGCGAAGGCGACUCUCUGGUCUGUAACUGACGCUGAGGAGCGAAAGCGUGGGGAGCGAACAGGAUUAGAUACCCGAGUAGUCCCUGUCUCUUAUAC